UCGCGGCUGAUUAGCUAGUUGGUGGGGUAAUGGCUCACCAAGGCGACGAUCCGUAACUGGUCUGAGAGGAUGAUCAGUCACACUGGAACUGAGACACGGUCCAGACUCCUACGGGAGGCAGCAGUGGGGAAUAUUGGACAAUGGGCGAAAGCCUGAUCCAGCAAUACCGAGUGAGUGAUGAAGGCCCUAGGGUUGUAAAGCUCUUUUAGCAAGGAA
rnacentral:rRNA from 1 species